rnacentral:rRNA from 1 species
GACGAAGGGUGCAAGCGUUAUCCGGAUUCACUGGGUUUAAAGGGUGCGUAGGCGGGCAGGUAAGUCCGUGGUGAAAUCUCCGAGCUUAACUCGGAAAUUGCCGUGGAUACUAUCUGUCUUGAAUGCUGUGGAGGUGAGCGGAAUAUGUCAUGUAGCGGUGAAAUGCUUAGAUAUGACAUAGAACACCAAUUGCGAAGGCAGCUCACUACACAGCGAUUGACGCUGAGGCACGAAAGCGUGGGGAUCAAACAGG